rnacentral:lncRNA from 1 species
AUGAUGAAGAAAUCCUACUUCUCAGGGAAGUUGGGAACAAUGACCAGAUACAUUUUCAGCCAGUAUAGUAGAUUACAAAUGCUAAAUGGUAUAUGUAUGGGACUGGGCAAAUGUUGCAUGUACUUUGUAUUUUUCACACUGUUAUAAAAUUAUAUUAAUAUGAUACUGUACCCUAAGGCUAGGUCUAUGCUAGACCAACAAUUCAUUCCUGGGCCCCUGAAGAUACUUGUUUGGCCCUGCUGUCUAUUUAGCCAAGGUGAGUCCCUCAUUAACAAGUACGAAAUUGCUCACAUCUUCCCAGCCUAAGUGAGUUUUUCAUUAUUAGAAGCUAGAAAAAGAUACUGACAGAUUUUGUUGUCAGUUGGAUUAUUG